AUAGUGGACAUUAAAAUCAGUAAGGCU
rnacentral:piRNA from 1 species